rnacentral:lncRNA from 1 species
AAGUGGUGGCUAACUCUAAACUCGAGUGAACUGAUACAGUCCGGCGAGUAAACUUUUCAUUAAACAGGGUAACUUUAACUGAAACGGUACUGAAGAAAAGUUGAAUAAAUAAAUAUUCAUAAAACAUUAUAAAAACAUCGAAAGUUAAAUACUAAAACAGUUAAAUUAACAAUCCUUACUUUUAUCUUACUGUGUUUAAAUAAAAUUAAACUUAAAAUAAACAUUUAAAUACUAAAUAAUUAAUCUGUCCAAAUUAAGGGGAAUUAACCUAGACACAUCAAGGCACAUCUAUUACAUU